CUUGACAUCCAGAGAACUUCCAGAGAUGGAUUGGUGCCUUCGGGAACUCUGAGACAGGUGCUGCAUGGCUGUCGUCAGCUCGUGUUGUGAAAUGUUGGGUUAAGUCCGCAACGAGCGCAACCCCUAUCCUUUGUUGCCAGCGAUUCGGUCGGGAACUCAAAGGAGACUGCCGGUGAUAAACCGGAGGAAGGUGGGGAUGACGUCAAGUCAUCAUGGCCCUUACGAGUAGGGCUACACACGUGCUACAAUGGCGUAUACAAAGAGAAGCAACCUCGCGAGAGCAAGCGGACCUCAUAAAGUACGUCGUAGUCCGGAUUGGAGUCUGCAACUCGACUCCAUGAAGUCGGAAUCGCUAGUAAUCGUAGAUCAGAAUGCUACGGUGAAUACGUUCCCGGGCCUUGUACACACCGCCCGUCACACCAUGGGAGUGGGUUGCAAAAGAAGUAGAUAGCUUAACCUUCGGGAGGGCGUUUACCACUUUGUGAUUCAUGACUGGGGUGAAGUCGUAACAAGGUAGGCGUAGCGAG
rnacentral:rRNA from 1 species